UUUCGCAAUGCCCGAAAGGGUGACGAAGCGACGCCGCGUGCGGGAAGAAGGCCUUCGGGUUGUAAACCGCUGUCGGGAGUUAAGAAAUGUAAGGAUGUUAAUAGCAUCUUUGCUUGACUAAGGCUCCGGAGGAAGCCACGGCUAACUCUGUGCCAGCAGCCGCGGUAAUACAGAGGCGGCAAGCGUUGUUCGGAAUUAUUGGGCGUAAAGAGCACGUAGGCGGCUAUGUAAGUCGGUUGUGAAAGCCUUCCGCUCAACGGGAGAACAGCAUCCGAUACUGCAUGGCUUGAGUGCGGGAGGGGAGAGUGGAACUUCUGGUGGAGCGGUGAAAUGCGUAGAUAUCAGAAGGAACGCCGGCGGCGAAAGCGGCUCUCUGGCCCAUAACUGACGCUGAGUGUGCGAAAGCUAGGGGAGCAAACGGGAUUAGAUACUCCGGUAGUCCUAGCCGUAAACGAUGGGCACUAAGUAGAGGGGUUUUAAUCUC
rnacentral:rRNA from 1 species